rnacentral:lncRNA from 1 species
AUCUUCUACUGUUCCUCAUAGGUCACUGUUUCGAGCUCCUUAUUAACCUCAUCUUUAGGGGCCUUGAACAGUUCUUCUUUUAAUUCAGUUCACCCCUCUAUUCUGCUCUUAAGACCAAAGUUAUAUGUGUGCAAGUCUCACAGAUGGAACUUGUGAGUAAAGGUGGACUUUGUUCAGAAGAAAAGCAUGAAGAAAACCCAGACUGAAUCAGAGAAAAUCAAACCAUAUGUGAUACAAGCACCUUGAAGACAGAGAUUAUAUCUUGGACCCCUACAGCAUUUAUCACAGUUCUCUGGAUACUAAGGUGUCUUAAUGGAAUGUGGAUGAUGGGUUUCUGUCUGCACACAGGAGAGCUGAAUCGGCCAGAACCCAGAAAAUCCCAGCCUCACCAAGAGAUGACACGUGACCUGGUGGGCCUCACCCAGGGCAUACAGCUUUCCCAGCUAGCAAACAAACAAGCCCUGGUCACAGCGGUUAUAGCUGGCUCAUGGUCGCUCACAGACACUCUGGGCAUGCAUUCCCGUGACUUAGAAAAGAGGAGGCCUUUGGAACCUGCCAGUGCUGUCUGCUGAUUGUGAGGUGUCUGGAACCUGGGGCCCCAUGGCCCCUCCACACCAGCAUGGUGCUCUGCAAAGGCCAGCUGCUCUUCAUCCUGUCUCAAUGAUACACAGUUUUUUUCCCCAAAACUUUAGUAGCGCCACUCUCCCUAUCACUUGUCUUUUAAUUUUGCCCCUUAUUGUUCCUUAGAUUAAAAAAUAUCCUCCUUCCAUGGGAGGUUUGGACCUAGUAGUCUUGAGUUUGAAUCCAAGCUAUCCAUUUAUUAGCAGAUUGAGCUUAGGUAAGUCCCUUCAUCUUUCUGAAUCUUGAAAUUUUCAAAGCAAAACAGGGCUAAGGGUAUCCACUUU